GCCUGUAUAUCUCCGUCGCAAACUUACCCUGCGAAGGACACAUAGUGAGUUUAAUUGAUUCCUACUCCAGAACGUCAGGUCAAGAUGCAGCUAAUGAGAGGGAUAAGAGAUGGGCUACAUUCCCUACUACCAGGGAAAACGAAUGUUAUGAAUUGAAACAUCAAACUGAAGGUGGAUUUAGUAGUAAGUGGGAAUCAGAGUGUCCCACUGAAACUCGGCCCUAAAGUGUGCACAGACCGCCCGUCACCCUCCCCAGGAAUCCUUAACUCACGUUAACUAAAACCCCUUACCCUCCACAAGGGGAGGAAAGUCGUAACACGGUAAGCGUACUGGAAAGUGCACUUGGAUGAU
rnacentral:rRNA from 1 species